CAAAGAUAUCCAAUAGACUUUAAUGCCAGUUGAGGAAACAAAUUCUUUACAGAAUGAACUGAAAAUACCAAACAUUAAAAGAUUCGCAGUUCAUUUUCUUUGAAGCCCCAGUGCUGCCCAGUGCAGAGUAUGGAAUGGAGAACAGAGAGGAGUCAGCCUCCUGGAAGGGAUUGUGUGAUUGGCCAAGACUGCUCACAUGCUCACUCCUUGGCUGAGCUGGGACAGGGAGAGAAAGGAUGCGGCCUUUUUCACUACCUUUGAGAUUCAUCUGGAUUUAUAUUUCCACCAAGACCUCACAUGACUGGGGAAAAGGAAUUCUUCAAAUGGAAUCCAACGUACUGUUGAAGCAGGGAAUGGAUAUGAGGCUGCCAAAAUGAUGGGAUGUGGCCUUUGGGAAGAAAUUAGAUCAAGAGAGGAUGGAGCCCUCAUAACUGGCAUUAGUGCCUUUAUGGAAGAGACAGAAGAAACCUGGCUGAUCCCUUCAACCAUGUGAAGACACAGUGAGAAGGCAACAUUUAUGAUCCAGAAAUCAGGAUCUCACCAGACACCUAAUCUCCUAACACCUUAUCUUGGACU